GAUACCUGAGAAAGAGCAGCCGGCCUCAGUCACUUCCUCCGGUGGAUGCCAGAGGCCAAUUUGGAUAAUAGCAGAGCCACCUUGUUCCUUUCCUUUGUUCCAAAAUGUGGUGCCUGGGUAGGAAAAAGCCCCACACCAUUCAUGAUGUUAACAAUAGCAGCAUUAACAGUCAUUGGACUCCCACCGAGUGUGUUAUUCUUUAAAUUAGAACCCAUGAAUAUAAUGAGAUGGAUUUUCACAGGAACAAGGGCAGGCUGAAACAAAGAGAUAAAGAAACUGAGGCUCAAUGAACUUGUAACGCUUUAGUGUCAGAGCUCUAGAAUGGGUGAAGGCCAGAUUCAGACCCAGGCAUCGUGACUCCCAAGUCUGCUUGUGGAUCCUUGAAAGCAAGGGUGAGCCAUAAGCAUUGCACCUUUGAGAGAACUGCCUGCUCAACAUGAAGAUGAUGAGGAUGAAGGCCUUUAUGAUGAUCCACUUCCACUUAAUGAAGACUUAUCUUCUUAGAACUUGCCAGCCAAGUAGUGCGAGGGAGCACAGGAUAGCAGACGGCAUGGUGUGCGGGUGGAAUCCGGCAGCCUGGCGGAAGAGCAGAUGGAGGCACCCAGAUGCAGCCCUCCCUGGCUGUCAGGGCCAGGGGCAGAAGGCCCUUGGCUCGCCAGGAGCUGCUGUUCCACAUCCUCAUAUCGACUUACUAUGAACUCUCCGGAAUUAAAAUGUUUGUCUGAGGCCCUUGUAAUUUUCUAUUGUGUGGAAUGUAAUGUAUUUAAUAUAUGGCUUGAAUUUCAAAACUCAAAGGCCUUAAACCUCUUUUUUGGCCUCACCUCACUCUCUUCUCUUUAGUCUUUUUGAAGCUAAGAAUUAUAAUUCCACUCCAAAUAUCUCACCUACCGUGUUUGUUGUAGCCCAC
rnacentral:lncRNA from 1 species